AGUUUUAUUCUGUCACUGCUCCAAUGACAUGGCAUUCACCAGGACUGCCAUGGGAAUUAUGUGAUUCACAGCAAAUCAGAAACUCUUCUAAGAUGGGUGAAAGCUGACUUUAAGAUGGGACCUGCAGAGAGAUGCUAAGCACCUGGCAACACCACUGAGACCCAGAGAUGCGGGUGCUUUGGACCCUCCAGAAUCAAGUUGCCACAGACUCCUCAGAACUGCAUUUCAUUUAUUUCCUGACUACUUCAAGAAGAGGUAUCUACAAUCAAUCACGUCCCAACAAAUAACCAAGGCACUGGCUUGGGCUUCAGUCAGGGAGGCCUUCAUUAGGAUCCCUCUGGAGAAAGAACAUCAGGGGACCAACAUCCCACUGCUGAAGCGAGCUGCAGCCUGCUGCUCCUGGAGAUCCAACACUUGUGUUCUCCAAAGACAUACCCUGCCGUACGUGGAAGAUGAUCACACAUACUGGUUUAGCUACAGGCAGUUCUCAUUUUCUCUCUGCCUACUUUCCUUGAAAGAGUGAAAGAAGUUACUACAGAGUCACUUCUUUUCUUUCUUCUGCUAGCCUCUUUUUCUAGGUAGUAUCUCUUUUUGUUUGCCCAACAGGGAGAGAGAGCAAUCGGCUUGUCAGCAGAGAAUUUCACUGAAAUUCUCUAACCACAGAAAAAAGAUCAUCUGACAGUGCCUGCUAAGGAAUUCACAUAUUAAAACGCUAACGGUAGUCUGAUUAAACAAAGCCAUUUUCAUCCAUUUUCAUGGAUGACUUGAUGUGAUUCAGCUUAUAAUUUUAGUUCUGACACAUCUGCUCUGAAAAGUGAAAGGAGUUUAAUUCAGCCUCAAGCAUCACGGUUCCUUUCGGGUAUCAGUUGUUCCUUCUUCUUUACAGUAUUGGCACUGUUGAUUUAUAUAUUAAAGCAACAGUAUUUUC
rnacentral:lncRNA from 7 species